rnacentral:tRNA from 1 species
UACCCCGUGGUGUAAUGGUAACACAACGGCCUUUGGAGUCGUUAUUCCUGGUUCGAGUCCAGGCGGGGUAG